rnacentral:rRNA from 1 species
AGUCUAGAGUGAGGGAGAGGCAGAUGGAAUUGGUGGUGUAGGGGUAAAAUCCGUAGAUAUCACCAAGAAUACCCAUUGCGAAGGCGAUCUGCUGGAACUCAACUGACGCUAAGGCGCGAAAGCGUGGGGAGCAAACAGGAUUAGAUACCCUGGUAGUCCACGCCCUAAACGAUGUACACUAGUUGUUGGGGUGCUAGUCAUCUCAGUAAUGCAGCUAACGCAUUAAGUGUACCGCCUGGGGAGUACGGUCGCAAGAUUAAAACUCAAAGGAAUAGACGGGGACCCGCACAAGCGGUGGAGCAUGUGGUUUAAUUCGAAGAUACGCGAAGAACCUUACCUGGGCUUGAUAUCCUAAGAACCUUAUAGAGAUAUGAGGGUGCUAGCUUGCUAGAACUUAGAGACAGGUGCUGCACGGCUGUCGUCAGCUCGUGUCGUGAGAUGUUGGGUUAAGUCCCGCAACGAGCGCAACCCACGUAUUUAGUUGCUAACGGUUCGGCCGAGCACUCUAAAUAGACUGCCUUCGUAAGGAGGAGGAAGGUGUGGACGACGUCAAGUCAUCAUGGCCCUUAUGCCCAGGGCGACACACGUGCUACAAUGGCAUAUACAAUGAGACGCAAUACCGCGAGGUGGAGCAAAUCUAUAAAAUAUGUCCCAGUUCGGAUUGUUCUCUGCAACUCGAGAGCAUGAAGCCGGAAUCGCUAGUAAUCGUAGAUCAGCCAUGCUACGGUGAAUACGUUCCCGGGUCUUGUACUCACCGCCCGUCACACCAUGGGAGUUGAUUUCACUCGAAGCCGGAAUACUAAACUAGUUACCGUCCACAGUGGAAUCAGCGACUGGGGUGAAGUCGUAACAAGGUAACCGUAGGAGAACCUGCGGUUGGAUCACCUCCUUUCUA